rnacentral:misc_RNA from 1 species
GAUGAAGAACGUAGCGAAAUGCGAUAAGUAAUGUGAAUUGCAGAAUUCAGUGAAUCAUCGAAUCUUUGAACGCACAUUGCGCCCGUCAGUAUUCUGGCGGGCAUGCCUGUUCGAGCGUCAUUACGCCCCUCAAGUCCCCUGUGGACUUGGUGUUGGGGAUCGGCGAGGCUGGUUUUCCAGCACAGCCGUCCCUUGAAUUAAUUGGCGGUCUCGCCGUGGCCCUCCUCUGCGCAGUAGUAAAACACUCGCAACAGGAGCCCGGCGCGGUCCACUGCCGUAAAACCCCCCAACUUUUUAUAGUUGACCUCGAAUCAGGUAGGACUACCCGCUGAACUUAAGCAUAUCAAUAAGCGGAGGA